UGAUAUCAGUUCACACAGGUUUUCUAACAUAAAUGACGCCUGUUUGAUGAAUUGGACUUGGAGGCAUAAUGCAGGUCCCUUUGUCCUGGGAUCAGCUCCUCUUGAAAAUAUUAGCUGGAGGAUGAGACAAAGACUUUUAGUGCUGCCUGUUGCUAUGGUGUGAUAAUUAUUUCAUCAUGGCUAGAAAUGACAAGCAAAUGCAUGUUUUGUGAAGUCUUUUGUGGCUUGCUCUGCUGCAAAUUGUCCGGGUCAAAGUACCUGAUAUUGAUUAGACA
rnacentral:misc_RNA from 1 species